rnacentral:ncRNA from 1 species
GGUCGGUUGUGUUAGGCAUAUUGCCCGAUGCACUUACACACGCUUGACCCACCAGCUUCGGCAAAUACAUUAAGAGGUACUGAGAACGAGGCGUACCGAAAGGGAGACUCGCGCAGUC